rnacentral:tRNA from 1 species
GCCUGGGUGGCUUAGUUGGUUAAGCGUCUGACUUCAGCUCAGGUCAUGAUCUCAUGGUUUGUGAGUUCGAGCCCCGUGUCGGGCU